rnacentral:rRNA from 1 species
AGAACGAACGCUGGCGGCAGGCUUAACACAUGCAAGUCGAACGCUCGUAGCAAUACGGGAGUGGCAGACGGGUGAGUAACGCGUGGGAACAUACCCUCCGGUUCGGAAUAGCUCAGGGAAACUUGGAUUAAUACCGGAUACGGCCGAGAGGCGAAAGAUUUAUCGCCGGAGGAUUGGCCCGCGUUCGAUUAGCUAGUUGGUGAGGUAACGGCUCACCAAGGCGAUGAUCGAUAGCUGGUCUGAGAGGAUGAUCAGCCACAUUGGGACUGAGACACGGCCCAAACUCCUACGGGAGGCAGCAGUGGGGAAUAUUGGACAAUGGGCGCAAGCCUGAUCCAGCCAUGCCGCGUGAGUGAUGACGGCCUUAGGGUUGUAAAGCUCUUUCGCUCGGGACGAUAAUGACGGUACCGAGAUAAGAAGCCCCGGCUAACUUCGUGCCAGCAGCCGC